UACGUAGGGGGCAAGCGUUGUCCGGAAUCAUUGGGCGUAAAGAGCGUGUAGGCGGCCAGAAAAGUCCGCUGUGAAAACUCGAGGCUCAACUUCGAGCUGUCGGUGGAAACUUUCUGGCUAGAGUCCGGAAGAGGAGAAUGGAAUUCCUGGUGUAGCGGUGAAAUGCGUAGAUAUCAAGAGGAACACCUGAGGUGAAGACGGGUUGCUGGGCUGACACUGACGCUGAGGCGCGAAAGCCAGGGAGCAAACGGG
rnacentral:rRNA from 1 species